GGGUCCUGGGAUUGAGCCCCGAGUAGGGAGGGGGCUCUCAGCAGGGAGUCUGCUUCUCUCUCUCCGUCUGCCCGUGCUCUCUCUCUCAAAUAAAUCAGUAAAACUUAAAAAAAGAAAAGAAAAGAAAGAAAGAAAUCUGAAAAGGAAACUCUUUUUCUUUUUUCCCCCGCACUGUCCCUUGCAGCUAGGGACAACCAUGUAACGGGGUUCUGGCCACAUAGGUAUAAAUAGGAAAUCCCCUGAGUGACUUCAGGAAAGUGUUUAUUUAUCUGUUAAAAAGGGACAGAUUCAGCUUUUGCCCCUCUUGUCCCUCUGCGUCUUCCACCUAUUUCCUUCCCACAGAACAGACUUGACCCCUGAAAUUGCAGCAGCUGGUCAGUGACCAGGAGGGGACAAGCAGGAGGACACAGACCUAAGAGAUGAGGAAGCUGGAGCAGACAGACAGAAAGAAUUUCAGCUCUGGAUAGCAUCAUCCAGAGGCUGUAGCAAUGAACUACCCACCCCUGGACUUCUUGCUCUUUGAGAAAAAGAAAACCAGAAUUAAUACAAAAAGUGGAUUUCAUCCAUUUUGAGAGAUCAGGCUUUUGUCGGGAAUUCUUUUUUUCAGCUUCAAGUAUUUCUGUGGAUGAUGGUAACAUUCAAAAUCAAAUUCUGAUAUUUCCCCUCUGUCCUCAGCACUGUUUGAUCCUUCCCCAAACCAUUUAGGAUAAAAUAUAAAUUUCUUAGCUCAGUUCUCAGAUAUGUUUCAAAAUCUACUUGCAAUUCACAUCUUCAUCUCAUCUCUGGUCACUCCCCCACCAAGGUCUUUUCAUUUCUGCUGCCUUGAAUGGCUGUCGUGUAUGUGCAGCCCGGCCAGGUAGAAAGCCAUGGUUUUCCUCAUACUUCUUAUGCUAUUUUCCUCUGCCUUUUCUUUCUGCAUAGAACAUUCUUCAUUCUCUUCUGUAUUUAGCUAAUUCUCCUUAAAUUUCAAGGCUCAGAUCAGCAGUUUUCUCCUCUGGGGAGAGGACCCUCGCCCUUCCCGUGUGGUUUAGGUUCUGGAACACACAUUGUACAACCCUUCACUCUAUAAUUGUGGGGUACCUGCUAUUUCACUGGUUUGUUUUUCAACUCAGCUUCAAGUUCUAUAUGGUCAGGGAACAGAUUUCAUGUAUACUUGUAUUAUUAGGACUUGGCAUACAAUAGGCAUUCAAUACAAUAUUUAAAUGAAUAAAUGACAAAAUGGAUAGAUCAGUAAAUUAUCCUUUGUCAGAAAAAUAAAGAAAGACGUCAUGGAUUCAUUGCAUGGCUUUGAAUGAGACUCCUCACUCUUGAAGUAGGGUUAGAAUUGAGACAGGCACAGAGACUGGCCCAGACCAAGUAAUGAGUACAUAUGUCCUAAGUUCCUGUGUGAAUAAAUGGGUAAAUGAGAAGGCAAGAAUUCCAGGGGGGACAGAGUUUGAGUCAUCGCCAAGAAGCAAUAUGGUUCAGAAUCUGCUUGACUAAUUGUGAGGAGUUCACGUUGGCUGAGGCUUGGGAUGGACAAAACCCAAAGGACCUCGAGUGACAGGCUUAGCAUGUGGUUUUAGGUAAUGUUAAAGGGAGGAGUUUUGGCACAAUCAAAAUUGUGAUUCUUUUAUGAGACUUAGUUUUCCUUCUUGAUGAGACCUGAUAAUAGAAUACUAUAGCAAUCUUGAAAGCAAAUGUUUACUGAGACAAACAGGUGGGUGGGUUCUUACCUGGCAAGAAAAUUCUUUUUUUUUUUUUUUUUUAAAGAUUUUAUUUAUUUAUUUGACACAGAGAGAGAGAGGCAGAGAGCAAGUACAAGCAGGGGGAGCAGCAGACAGAGGGAGAGGGAGAAGCAGGCUCCCCACUGAGCAAGGAGCCUGAUGUGGGGCUCGAUCCCAGGACCCUGGGAUCAUGACCUGAGUCGAAGGCAGACGCUUAACGGACUGAGCUACCCAGGUGCCCCUGGCAAGAAAAUUCUUAAUGUCUUCUUUGUUUCUAAAGGGACAUCUUACUUUCUAAGUCAACUAUUGAAUAUGUUAGAAGAGAAGAAGGAAGAGGGGGAGAGGUGUAGAAUGAAGUGUUGGGGCUUCAGCUAGUUUAAAAAUUGGUCUGCCAUGCUUAUAUGACCACUUGGAUUUUAAAUUCUGCCCAGCGCAUUGAAAAGCAGAAUCACUGUGCUUAACAUAACAGAUUGCAUCUAGAAGGUCCCUUAAGUAAUUCUAAUAGCCCUAUAUAACAGGAAUAUUUAAUUCAUUUCAUGUUUUUAUUGUUAAAAUAUUUGAUUAUUUGUGUCAUAUAUCCUUGUAUGUCAGAUUACAUGAUCUGGUGCUUUGAAGUCAUCAAUAGCAAUUUGACUCUAACUGAGCUGGCGGUAUCUGGGGAAAUGAUCUUGGGUAAAUUCAUCUCAUUUUUACUCUCUUCACAGGGUUUGAUUUUGCUCUUCUGUGCCAUUUGUAAAUGAUAGGCCCUCUUGCCUCUACUUCUUUCUAAACUCAUAUCCCAUAAUUUGCAAGAAACAUUUUUUAAAAAAUUUUUUGCAAGCAAAUUUUUUUUUUUUUUUUUGGUCUUCCAAUUAUGAGCCCCUGAACAACAGAAUAGAAAGCCCAGAUUGGUCUCAUAUUCCUUCUGGGCUUUAAGGUCUCAAGCUCAUCAUAGGUGUCCAGUGAUACUUCUUUGACUUUAUGUGGAACGUAAGGACCUCCUUCCAGGAGAAAGCACACAAGUUGGGAUAGCCAUAGUUACUUGAGAGUUUAGUUCUAUAUCUCAUUUAAAAAAUAAAACAAGGCAAAGCAAGAUGAAACAGUAUUCAAUUACUUUUGUUCUCUAAUGAAACUGUAAAGUGGAUUAGAAUAUUCCUGACUUCAGGAACUCAGACUAGUAUAUACUACAUAAUCUAUUUAUAGUACCUAAUAUAAUGUUCUAUUCCUAAAUAAAUUCCUAAAGUGAUAUUUCUAAAUAAAUGAAUUUUUAAUAAAAAAAUUAACAUUAAUCUACUCAGAUUUUGCUGUUAUUAGGUGGGUUUUUUUGGUCAUAGUGACUAUAAAAAAAUCAGUGACUAUAAAAAAACCAGUGUUUAAAAGGCUUUACUAAUUGUAAUAGUGUAUCAUUUAAAGUCUAUUCUAUCUUACUCUAUCUUCCUAUGUAGACAGCCCAGUUAAGCGUGAUCAUGUCCAUGGGCUUAUCUCUACAGAACAGGCAGAAACAUUAAUGUACAAUGAAGAAGUUUUUUGUUUUGUUUUGUUUUGGUUUUGCAAAUGUUUCAUUGAGCUACGGGCAGAGCUUGAAGAGAUGAGCUGAAACAAGGGUAAGCAAUUUCAAUGUAUUUUGAUUACAAUUGUUGGACACCUGAGUAAAGAGAAAAUGUUGGAAUGCCAUAGCAUUCUCUCUCACUUGGAAUCCAGUGAACAUUUUUGCAGGAGAAGGUGAUUUAAAGGCACUGAUCAACUAGGAAACAUCCUGUCAGUUUAGUGAGCCAGACUGAGCAAGGUCAGUAAGGCUGGUACGGACAUGGAAGUACUGAGUGGUGAGGCUGUUAAGUCACGGAAGCAUUUCUCAGAACACACUUGGCCAUUGGUCCAAAGAAAAGUUGAGAGACUUUGCAAAAGUGCGUGUUACUACGCAUUUCUGAGGAACUAACCACGUCCAGAGGCUCACACAGCCAUUGGAACCCAUAAAGUAUUGUAUACAACAUCUAAGCUAGCCAUUAACAUAGGAAAAGGCAUGACGAGUGUUUAGAAAAAUGCCCAGACAUUACAGGGAGAUAUAUAUUUCUCCAAACCUGAGCUUAUUUUAUUUGUGAUACUUUAGAACUACCUACACACUGCUUUAAUGAGAUUGCUUUCUGAAGGCAACAAGUUCAGUAAAUCACUCUGCUUUUCUCCAGUCUUUUCAUCCCGCAUGUAAAAUUUUAACCAUGAUGGACAGAGAGUCUCUGGUCCAAAAAGCUCACCAUGUUCCUUAUCCACAGAUACAGGUAAAUGGAAAUCGCGGCUCUUUAACCACAGCAUUACUCACUGUGAUUUGUUUUGAACUCGUUGCAGAGUCAAAUAACACUGCUUGGACUUGUUCAGGUUUGUUGACUGGUGGAGGAGUGGACUGGUACAGAAAGAAGCUGGAGCCAGGCAGAACAAUUAAGAAACAAAUGCAAAUAUCUGGGAGAGGAGCAGACACUAAAGCAGUGUUUCUCAAAUUUGUUGCAUAUCAUAAUCACAUGGACAGCCACUAAAGCCCACAGAGGUCCAGGCUCCUUGAAGUAGGAGAGCUCAUUUGGCCUUUGUAUUUUUACCAAUACAAAUUUCCUCAGAGGACUCUGAUAGCGAUGGUGGUGGAAAAGCAUGAAAUAGUCAUCACCUUGUGAAAUGUACUGCAAAUGACUUGAGAUAACAACAGUACAGCUCUUGACCAAGAGUUAUAGUUGCCAAGAAGUAUCUACUAUUUGAUGAUUAAUUUAAUAUGUAGAAGUAAGUGACAGGCUGAUCUCUGGCCUCCGCCUGUCUGUACUGGGUGCCUUGCUCAGCUACUUGGAAUCUUCUGCCGCAACGGAGCUUAGAAAGUCCCAGCACCUGGCGGAGAGGGAUGGAGGCGAGUGACAGAAGGAGAACAAAUUCAUCCAUUUGCACUGUACUUCGCAAAAGUAAAAAAACGUGCCUCCAAAGAGGGCCUCUUACAUGCUCUCUUUAUCUCUUUGUGGUCUGACUGAGGCAGGAACUACCAUCUCCAAAAACACUGGGACUCAUACGUGUUAAAUGAUCUGCUUAAGGUCACGCAGUUUGGAAGCAUUUCAAAUCAGUUUUAGUCUGUAUCUUCCAAAUACAGCUCCAGGAUUCUUUCCACUCGUUCAUUCCAACAUCUCUAUUCUGGGACUAUUAUCAGAAGUGCCUGAACUUGUCUUUGGGAAAUCCCGUCAUUCACUCAAGUGCUUCAUGAGGCGCUUUGAUUGUGAAAACAGAAGAAAUCCUAAAGCUUUGCUAUGAUAAUAAAUAAGAAUGUUAACAGUCUAUUAAAAUAAGAUGUAAGGAUUUAGGAAGAUAUGUAUACCCUCACCGUAUCUUCUCAAAAGCAGAGUGAGUAAUAUUGCCAGAAGGUUCACCCAUAACAGACAGGAGGAAAAUAAUAGCAGUAGACAGUUCUGUCUCUGGGAUAGGUAAGUUUUUUUUUCCCCCAGGAAUGUAGAGAAAAUGAUGAGAUUGUCUUAGGCUUAAUACUCCCUAAUUUUCAUUCCAUACAAAUAGCAUAGUACCAACUGUGGACAAGAUAGUAAAAUCCCUUUUGAGAAGUGCAAUGAAAAAGGUAUGAUUUUAGACUUUGGAUCAAAGACUGAAUUCAGGCUAACUAGAGCUCCUUGUAAGGUUGUCGCUAAAAUGAAAUAAAAUAAGACAAAAGUUGUUACAGAGUGCCUUGAACGUUUGUUACAAUUAAAUAGGUAUUUUUUGUUGUCAGAUGAAUGAAAUCAAAGCAUUCAGAAAAUGCCCCUGGAUUUCCAGGAAAGAAGAGCUUACUGGUUCACAAUAGUCAAAAUUAGUAAUUUUAGCAAUAAAUAAGCAUGCAGCAUAUUUUGGAAAUUUUUUUUUUUUGUAAAAGUGGUCCUAAGCUCCAGAUCACCUUAUAAUCAUUUAGGAAGUAACAAACAAACCAACAAACAAAAACAAAAACAAAAGAACCACAAAAUAUC